rnacentral:rRNA from 1 species
UACGUAGGGGGCAAGCGUUGUCCGGAAUCAUUGGGCGUAAAGAGCGUGUAGGCGGCUCGAUAAGUCCGCUGUGAAAGUCCAGGGCUCAACCCUGGAAGGCCGGUGGAAACUGUCGGGCUAGAGUCCGGAAGAGGCGAGUGGAAUUCCCGGUGUAGCGGUGAAAUGCGUAGAGAUCGGGGAGGAACACCUGUGGCGAAGGCGGCUCGCUGGGCCGGUCCUGACGCUGAGACGCGAAGGCGUGGGGAGCGAACGGG